UCCUUACUUGCGCUACUUCGGGCGACUUGUUUUCUCUCCCCUGCUUGCAGUCACACAACUAGUCAAUGACUAUUCCUGCAAAGAAGCUUCCAAAGCAGACGGCGAGAAGAAGGAGCUGACGUCGAUACUUAUUGACAAAGAAUGAAGAAAACACAUCGCGGAUGCUGGUGGUCAGCGUCUCGAUGAGUCCGGAGCUGUGGAGACCCACUGCCGGGUAGAGUGAAGGGUGUUGCCCCCGAGGAUACAUCGGCCCUGGAGGAGUGUCUCCCCUGCGCUCCUCGACUACGGUCUGGGAGCCGGAAGCAGGAAAGCUGAAUAUAUGGAGGAUGAACUGCUGCAUAUAGAAGCGAGCACGAAGAAGAGGCUGAAACGUUGGAGCAGACGGAAACCGAGAGAGUGGGACAUGGUCACGCUGCGAAUCUGGAACUUUGAGCCAAGCUAUGCCGAAUGAAUGCAUUGUUUGCCAAAAUCAACUGGACACAUCCCCGGCCAGCUGGACCAAACGGACGACUGUCCAUCGAAUACAGACGUAAACCAAUAUCCAGGAAAGAAGAAGACAAAGGGCCAAGUCCCAGCGAAUGUUUCCCAUUUCAUCAACUCCGCUUGAUAGCCCCAAAAUUCUUCUCCUGUGACAGAAAUCCGAGGAAAAACACUCAUAUACACACACACACACACACACACACACACACACAUGUGAUGUGGUACUUACUCCCAAUACUCUACAACUGAAGAUGUGUUGUUUGUGGACUCUGGCAGAGUUUGGUUGUGUCCCAGACAUGUAUCUUUCAUGCGAGCUGUUGAGACAGUUAGCCCACGGAAGUUCCGAAUGGAAGGACGAGAAGAGGAAGAGGAAUUCCCAGCCAGGUCAAAAAGACGGAUGUCAUGUCAUUCACCUCCAAAAAGAGGGCAGAUUUUCCUCCAACAUGUUAUUGCACCUUGACUGGUGUACUGGCCCAGUGAUGUCUCCAGGAUGAAGAGAGGGACGCCACAGGUGAACAGGAACAAAAAGUAUGGUAUGAGGAAGACACCUUUUAAGCCAAAAUUCAAUCUGUUAGUUCAAUAGUCCUCAAACUUUUCUCAUUCAUAUUUUGCUUUUUCAAGUACCAGUUUUUUUCCACCUACGGUUUGUCUUGCUAUGUAUUUAUUCUGAAAUGUAGCAAUAAAACACAU